GUCGAGCGGAAACGAUGGUAGCUUGCUACCAGGCGUCAAGCGGCGGACGGGUGAGUAACGCGUGAGAAUCUGCCCAUUUGUGGGGGAUAACUCGGGGAAACUCGAGCUAAUACCGCAUAAUCCCUACGGGGGAAAGCAGGGGACCUUCGGGCCUUGUGCAGAUGGAUGAACUCGCGUCGGAUUAACUUGUUGGUGAGGUAAAGGCUCACCAAGGCGACGAUCCGUAGCUGGUCUGAGAGGAUGAUCAGCCACACCGGGACUGAGACACGGCCCGGACUCCUACGGGAGGCAGCAGUGGGGAAUCUUGGACAAUGGGGGCAACCCUGAUCCAGCCAUGCCGCGUGUGUGAAGAAGGCCUUCGGGUUGUAAAGCACUUUCAGUAUGGAGGAAGGCUUACCGCUAAUAACGGUGAGUACUUGACGUUACCUACAGAAGAAGCACCGGCUAAUUUCGUGCCAGCAGCCGCGGUAAUACGAAAGGUGCGAGCGUUAAUCGGAAUUACUGGGCGUAAAGCGCGCGUAGGCGGUUUGUUAAGUCAGAUGUGAAAGCCCCGGGCUCAACCUGGGAAUUGCAUUUGAAACUGGCAGGCUAGAGUGCAGUAGAGGGAGGUGGAAUUUCCGGUGUAGCGGUGAAAUGCGUAGAGAUCGUAAGGAACACCAGUGGCGAAGGCGGCCUCCUGGACUG
rnacentral:rRNA from 1 species